UUCGGUGGUCAUAGCGUAGGGGAAACGCCCGGUUACAUUCCGAACCCGGAAGCUAAGCCUUACAGCGCCGAUGGUACUGCGCCGAACAAUCUUUGGAAAGGACCCCUGGUCCCAGCGUUC
rnacentral:rRNA from 1 species